CACAUUUAUUUUCAGUUUUCUGGCUCUUACAAGUCCUUGUUGUUGCAUACAUUGACUAUGAAGUCCAGUUUCAAUGAAUAUUGGGGAUUGAUAAUGAGAAGUUCUAUAAGAAAAAAAAGUAACCCUAGAGGGGUGGUUUAUAGUUAUCCUUCUUUUCUUUUUCUGUUUGUCUAGCCACCCUUCCACCCUCAGUUUUGAAAAGCUGGCACAUCUCUUCCCUCAGCCCUGUCUCAGGUCAUUUUCCCAGAACUAAUCGUGUCAGCAGAAGCACUUACUAUGAAAUCAUUUUUUUAAAGAAAUCUGCACAGUAGAUUUUUACAUUGAGCUGAGAUGAAUAUGCCUUGAAAAUAAUAUAAGUGUGAAAUUGUUUAAAUCAUAAAAUGGAUUCUCUAGCAUGAAAAUGUUUGUUUAAGCUAAGUGUGGGGACUCACACUGGAAUCCCAGUCUCUUGAGAGGCUAAGACAGAAGAAUUAUACAUUUAAGGCCAUCUUGUGCUGCAUGGUAUAUAAUUAUAGGCCAACCUGAGCUACAUAGUAAGACCGUGUCAAAAACCAAGUAGAGGGAGAAGGGGAAAGGCAUUCAGACUCUGGAAGCUGAAUAAAUGUGGAUUUUGUUAUCAUUUCUCUUUUUAUAGUGCUCCAACUUCCCCAGAACCAUCCAGCUUCUCGUGUUUUAUGUUUGCUUUAUUAUUUCCCCUGGGACUAGGGCCUUGCCUGCUACCAGAGCCUUGCAUAUAUUCGGCAAGUGUUCCAGCUCACCAGACCUUGGUCUUUUCUAUCAGGUAUCAAGGCCUUGAACUUGCUGUGUUGUGUAGACUAGCCUUGAAGCUUACAUUCUUCCCGCAUGGCCUCCUGAGUGCCAAGGUUGCAGUCGUGAGCUUCUCAUGUACUUAACAUCAGCUUAUAUUUUUCCUUCCUUCCUUUCCUUCCUAAUUGUGUGUGUGUGUGUGUGUGUGUGUGUGUGUGUGUGUGUGUGUGUGUGUCUGUCUGUGACGAAUGUGGAACCAGGCCUUUCUUUUAUUAUCCACACCUUCUGCCACUGAACCAUAUCUCCAGCCCUUUAAUACCAACUGCAAACAGCUUUUCUGCUUUUAUUUUCAGUUUCUAGAUUUUGAUUUUGAGUCUUACUUUCUCACUGAAGUUUAAAGCUUUGUUUCCUCGUGGUAAAGUACACAUUGUCACCUCCCCCUCUCCCCCCGCCAGCUUCCAGAGUACAGUUUAUAGAGCCUGGAGCAUCGUGCUGGCUUAUUUCCUUUGUAGGAACUAUUAUAAAAAUUAAUUCUCAAAAUUAAAAUUUUAAAUUAGGAAGUGUUGUUUUCAAGUCCAACGUGAUAGAUAUAUGUCUAUAAUCCCAGCAUUUAGGAGGCAAGGCUAAAUGAGGCCAGAGGAUUGCCAGGAACUGACGGCCAGGCUGAGCUACAUAACAAGACCCUGUUUUCAAAAAUGAGAAAAAAAAAUACUCUCUAAUAUUUUAAUCUGAUAGGUUGGAGGAGUAUUUAUAGAAACACGUAUCUAUGAUAAUAGUUAUUCAUUGUCUGUAAUACAGAAUAUCUAAAUCCCAUAUUAAUGAGCUGUCUCUUACUUUCUUGUCUCAGUGAACAACUCUGUUGUUGAGUGAUUUCUCUGACACUUGAGCUCAAGGUUCUCUCAGUCUGAAUAGUUGGAAAUACUCUUCUAAGCAUGUGAAAUUGCUGUCUUGGGAGGAAGUAAGCACAUGUUAGGGACUUAGGCUGUUUUAGAAGAGAUGUUAGCUUUUCACCUCCACUCUUCUCAGGCUAUCAGAAGAGACAACUCUUAGGUCAUCUCAAAAACUGCUCAGUCUUGUUGCUGAAUUCCUGCUUUUAAAGACACUUUAUCAACCUGAAGUAAAUACCUUUGAGAACACUUAAGAUACAUAAGCUCUUCACUAAGUCUGUGUUUGAUUUUCAAGCUUUUAUAAGCUGACAUACUGUCACAAUGUCAAGGGAAUAGUCGACAAAUACCAUUUAGAGGUAGACUAAUCCCCUGGUGUAAUAGGUACUCAAUUUUUGCCAACUACAGAGUUUUAUCCUCCAAAAUAAAUGAAUGCCAUGCUAUACAGCCAACACAUGUUCUGUAAGCUUUCAUCUAAAGAUUUUCUUUAUACUUAGCUUUCUGGUCAGGGGAACAAAGGUAUAGAAAUAUAAACACACAGAUAAGAAUAUGAAACUCCUAUCCAGGAAAUUCUCAGUUUUAUGGUCCAAAAAGGUAUAAACUAGGUUGUUUCAAACUCAGACUAAAUUGCCCCAUAUUGUUGUGAGUAAUUCAAAUAGUUGCUUGGAGUCAUUACUCAGUACCCGUUGCACUCUUGGAGUUAUUCUGGGCGUCUCAGUUCUCGAUGCAUUCUUGUGUUAGACAAAGGUACUUUGAUUUCAGUAGAGACUUGGUACACCUCUUCCUCAGUGAUGCCCCUCAGUGAGCCCUAAUUUAGCUGAUCUGAUCCCCAAAUGCUCAGCCUGAAACCUUUCUAGUUCCUACUCGUUCCAGUGGCUCUGAUCAGUCUGUCCAAAGUAUGACCUACUUCAAGUGUUAGGAAGAAGCAAAUUCAGACAAUUCAUAUUAAAUUGUCAGUGACUAUAAUCUUAUUAUCUUGCUGAAAGAGAACCAAACACAUAAACAUUGACAGCUCUGCUCAAUGACAGGAAAUUUACAGGUGAAUACUGUCCAUGCUUGCUCAAAAAACACUUUCCCUGUUUUCUGUUGACAAGUUUUCAAGGAAUAUGGAGGUGGGAAAACUACUCCUUUUUCAUUAUUCUGAAACUUAUUUUUAAAUAACUGGUACUUAGCAAUUUAGUUUUUAAAACACUAUUCCGAAUUAAAUUGCUGAGGUAACUAAAUUCUAGACCUAACCUUGUUUUAUCAUACAGCCAUCUAGUUAGAAAGUGUUUGUGGUGAAGACUUGUAUCUUGUGGCACUAGUUCUUCAUGUUUCUUCUCCAUGUGUCGGCUAAAACAGAUCAUUUCCAGAAGAGUGGAAAGUUACUGUUGUUGGGGGUCUGUGUAGGGCGGGCACACCCAGUUAGAGCAUGGGCUGUACUGUCACGGUAGCUGGGUGUGCUCUGCACUCUGCUGUUGUAGAUUUAUUUUGUUUACAGUAGACUGAUGUCAGUUUUGUAAAUGUUUUUCUUAGCACUUUAACUGUGAGUGUAAAAACUGAUUUUAAAUGUAGUGGUUGUAUAUUUUGGUUAUAAAUUGGAAAUUUUUAAUAAAACUAAAUAACUUG
rnacentral:lncRNA from 1 species